UGCAAGCGUUAAUCGGAAUUACUGGGCGUAAAGCGUGCGCAGGCGGUUUUGUAAGUCUGUCGUGAAAGCCCCGGGCUCAACCUGGGAAUUGCGAUGGAGACUGCAAGGCUUGAAUCUGGCAGAGGGGGGUAGAAUUCCACGUGUAGCAGUGAAAUGCGUAGAGAUGUGGAGGAACACCGAUGGCGAAGGCAGCCCCCUGGGUCAAGAUUGACGCUCAUGCACGAAAGCGUGGGGAGCAAACAGG
rnacentral:rRNA from 1 species